GUGCUUGCUUCAGCAGCACAUAUACUAAAAUUGGAAUGAUACAGAGAAGAUUAGCAUGGCUCUUGUGCAAGGAUGAUGUGCAAAUUCAUGAAGCAUUCCAUAUUUUU
ensembl:snRNA U6 U6 spliceosomal RNA